GAUGAACGCUGGCGGCGUGCCUAAUACAUGCAAGUCGAGCGAAUGGAUUAAGAGCUUGCUCUUAUGAAGUUAGCGGCGGACGGGUGAGUAACACGUGGGUAACCUGCCCAUAAGACUGGGAUAACUCCGGGAAACCGGGGCUAAUACCGGAUAACAUUUUGAACCGCAUGGUUCGAAAUUGAAAGGCGACUUCGGCUGUCACUUAUGGAUGGACCCGCGUCGCAUUAGCUAGUUGGUGAGGUAACGGCUCACCAAGGCAACGAUGCGUAGCCGACCUGAGAGGGUGAUCGGCCACACUGGGACUGAGACGCGGCCCAGACUCCUACGGGAGGCAGCAGUAGGGAAUCUUCCGCAAUGGACGAAAGUCUGACGGAGCAACGCCGCGUGAGUGAUGAAGGCUUUCGGGUCGUAAAACUCUGUUGUUAGGGAAGAACAAGUGCUAGUUGAAUAAGCUGGCACCUUGACGGUACCUAACCAGAAAGCCACGGCUAACUACGUGCCAGCAGCCGCAGUAA
rnacentral:rRNA from 1 species